ensembl:lncRNA
GAGAGAUGGAAACAGAGGAGGGCCCUGGUCGUUUCUUAAAUAACUGGUUGAAUAUUUAUACAUUGCACUGCAACGAGACUUGUUUUUAUUUUUGUAGAUGUUGCUGUCUGUAUUUAAUUUGGAAUAUGGGUUACAGACACAAGUUGUGGAGUUCCAGUCUUAGCACAGCAGAAACAAAUCUGACUAGGAACCAAGAGGUUGUAGGUUCAAUCCCUGGUCUCCAUCAGUGGGUUAAGGAUCUGGCAUUGCCGUGAGCUGUGGUGUAGGUCGCAGAUGCAGCCCAGAUUCUGCGUGGCUGUGAUUGGGGCUGGGGCUGGCACCUGUAGCUCCGAUUCGACCCCUAGCCUGGGAACCUCCAUAUGCCAUGGGUUCAGCUCUGAAAAGCAAAAAGGAAAGAAAAGGAAAAAACCCACAAACAAAACACAAGUUCUGAGAGGGAUCUAUUAAUACCUUGAAAUUAUCUGGAAAACGUGUGUGCAUUUUUCUGGGAGGCGUAUGCGGCGCUUUUGUCAUAGUUUCACAGUUUAGGAACCACUGUGUCACAACUUUCUGCCUCUCUGAGGCGUCAGCCGACAGUCGUCUAGAAGUCCAUGGACUCUAACUGCCCUGCAAGAGCUCUAGCCUUGGAACGGUCACUCUCCACCCAACCCUUUCUUACUAGUAAACCAAAUCAUACAGCCAGUUCCGAGACUGCAGCAGCACUGGGAGCAGCUUCAUGUAAGUCAACACGAGAAGCAAGUCAGCUGCUGGAGGUAGGUGCCCGGAGGUGCCGAAAAGAAUGAUCAGAGCCUGGCAAACUCAAAGUGUGGUCAGCAGACCAGCAGCCUUCACCUCCCUUGGGAUGUGGGAGAAACGUCGAAUCUCAGACCCAGAAUCUGCAUUUUCGCAGGAUGCUCAGGGCAUUCCCAAACACAGCAGAGUUUGAGACACCCCAGUUCAGCAGCUGCUUGGUUCUGGAUGCCGCCCUCCGUUCCCAGUGCAGUUGCUUCCCUUCCAUCGCCCCUACCAAGCCACACCCUCCUCCAUCUCCACCCCGGUCCUAGCUCCCCUGUGUCACAUGGAAUUCCUGUUGCUUUCUCAUAUCGCCUAAGGAAGCAGCAUUUUUCUCAUGCACGUGAUGUGAGCUCCCUCUGCUUGGGGUGCACAGACUCUUGGGACCGCCCUCUCUUGAUGGCGCUGUGAGAAGACGAGAGAAAGGAAUGGAAAAUUCAGUUCUCCAGUCACUUUCUCCGUGCGUGAUGCAGUUGUGAGCACGUCAUGAUCUCCGGGGCCACAUUGUCAUAGGCUUGUGAUAGGGAUCAGAGAUCCUUUUCUUGGACUAAGCAGGCUUUGACUGGGUUUUAAGUAGGUUUGCGUGAACCCGGCUUGCUCCCUCCCCCCAAUCCCAACCUAUACAAUGAGGCUUUGACCAGGGUUCUCUCUCUAACAUCCUCUCUGUCCUUUUAUGGAUGGCCUCCCAGAGGAAGCCUUCCCCCUCCAGAUCGUCUCCAAAUGGUGAAAAAAGCUCUAUUUUUCAUCCUGUGCAGGAUUAGUCGCACUCUUGAAGGGUCACCCUUGCGACAGAUCGGCUUGUGUUGUUCCAGUUCCACAGAUAUUGAUUCUCCCUCCGUUAGCGAUGCCGAGUGGCUGGGACCGCUUUAUGUAACCUGGAGCCCAAAUCCCUGGUCCUUUGUGAGAUAUCCGCCAUUAAGUUUGUCUCAAAACACGACACACUUCAUGUGCCUCGAGCACAGUUGCAAAUUCCUCUGUGACAAAAUGAAGAUUAAUUUUGAGCUUCAGUGCUUUGUGUUUAUGCAUCAUGGUAUCAACUGUCAUUGUAAUGACACAGUCUCCUGUGCAGACAAUUAGAAACCGUGCUCAAGGAAUCCUUUCUAAUUGUGUUGGGUUAUAAUUCACCCUUGACACGUGGCCCGUGCCGUAGGAGGGUCACCAUGCUUUGUGUGUGGUUUCAGAAAAAGAAUCACAACCUGUAAAUACUGCUUUUUCUCUCCAAAGCAGCUCAAGGAGUCCAAAACCAGGGAGCUUUGAAGAUUGGCUUUGACGAGUAACUAGAAUUCCUGGAGUUCCCAUCGUGGCUCAGUGGAAAAGAAUCUGACUAGCAUCCAUGAGGGUGCAGGUUCGAUCCCUGGCUUGGCUCAGUGGGUUAAGGAUCCGGUGUUGCCAUGCGCUGUGGUCGUGAGCUGUGGUGCAGGUCACAGAGGCAGCUCAGAUCCCGCAUUGUUGUGGCUAUGGUGCAGGCCAGCAGCUAUAGCUCUGAUUCGACCUCUAGCUUGGGAACCUCCUUAUGCUGCAG